AGCAGAGAGAUCACCUUGCCAACAAAGGUCUGUAUAGUUAAAGCUGUGGCUUUCCCAGUAGUGAUGUAUAGAAGUGAGAGCUGGACCAUAAAGAAGACUGAUCGCCGAAGACUUGAUGCUUUUGAAUUCUGGUGCUGGAGGAGACUCUUGAGAGUCCCAUGGACUGCAAGAAGAUCAAACCUCUCCAUUCUGAAGGAAAUCAGCCCUGAGUGCUCACUGGAAGGACAGAUCGUGAAGCUGAGGCUCCAAUACUUUGGCCACUUCACAAGAAGAGAAGACUCCCUGGAAAAGACCCUGAUGUUGGGAAAGAUGGAGGGCACAAGGAGAAGGGGAGGACAGAGGACGAGAUGGUUGGACAGUGUUCUCGAAGCUACCAGCAUGAGUCUGACCAAACUGCGGGAGGCAGUGGAAGGCAGGAGUGCCUGGCGUGCUCUGGUCCAUGGGGUCACGAAGAGUCGGACACGACUAAAC